rnacentral:lncRNA from 1 species
CAGUUUAUUUAUUUAUUUUCUGAAUUUUCAGUUUUAUUUAUUUAUUUUCGUAAUUUUCUAGUUUAUUUUAUUUUCUAGUAAAAAAUUAUUUCCUAGUUUAUUUAUUUAUUUAUUUUCUGUAAUUUUUAGUUUUAUUUUUUUAUUUAUUUUCUGAAUUUCAAGUUUAUUUAUUUAUUUAUUUUUGAAUUUUCAGUUUAUUUAUUUCCAAUUUAUUUAUUUAUUUAUUUCCAGUUUAUUUAUUUAUUUUUCGAAUUUCAAGUUUAUUUAUUUAUUUAUUUUUGAAUUUCCAGUUUAUUUAUUUUCCAGUUUAUUUAUUUCCUAGUUUUGUUUACUUAUUUAUUUAUUUAUUUCCAGUUUAUUUAUUUAUUUUUCUCAAUUUUCAGUUUAUUUAUUUAUUUAUUUUCGUAAUUUUCAGUUUAUUUAUUUUUUGAAAAUUUUAUUUCUAAUUUAUUUAUUUUCCAGUUUAUUUAUGUAUUUAUUUAUUUAUUUUCUGAAUUUUCAGUUUAUUUAUUUAUUUAUUUUCUGAAUUUCAAGUUUAUUUAUUUUUUGAAAAAUUUAUUUCUAAUUUAUUCAUUUAAAUGCUUUCAUUUAAUUCACCUAAUAAAAUAAUGCCAAAUAGUUAGUGCAAGAUUAGUAAAAGUAACCACAAUACAUUAACACUACCCUUUUAGUCUUUUACACCACCUUUACACCACCUUUUUCAGCUUUCUUAAAACCCGUGCCGAACACCAAAUAGGAAGAUGAUUCGUGGACGGAGGGAGUA